CACGUAGUUAGCCGGUGCUUAUUCUGCAGGUACCGUCAGUUGCCUCAGGUAUUAUCCAAGGCCGUUUCUUUCCUGCCAAAAGUGCUUUACAACCCGAAGGCCUUCAUCGCACACGCGGGAUGGCUGGAUCAGGGUUGCCCCCAUUGUCCAAAAUUCCCCACUGCUGCCUCCCGUAGGAGUCUGGGCCGUGUCUCAGUCCCAGUGUGGCUGGUCGUCCUCUCAAACCAGCUACGGAUCGUCGCCUUGGUGAGCCUUUACCCCACCAACUAGCUAAUCCGAUAUCGGCCGCUCUAAUAGUGCGAGGCCCGAAGGUCCCCCGCUUUCCCCAAAAGGGCGUAUGCGGUAUUAGCUACGCUUUCGCGUAGUUAUCCCCCGCUACUAGGCACGUUCCGAUACAUUACUCACCCGUUCGCCACUCGCCGCCAGACCGAAGUCCGCGCUGCCGUUCGACUUGCAUGUGUAAAGCAUCCCGCUAGCGUUCAAUCUGAGCCAGGAUCAAACUC
rnacentral:rRNA from 1 species